rfam:Neurospora tetrasperma FGSC 2509 unplaced genomic scaffold NETTE2scaffold_7, whole genome shotgun sequence.
GCGCGGUUAGUAUAGCGGUUAGUACUCUCGUUUCCCAACAAGUAGCCUAUCCAUGGGCGAAAAAAAGAACGAGUGACCCGGGUUCGACUCCCGGACUGUGCA